GGCGCUAUAGCCAAGUGGUUAAGGCGAUUGAUUAGAAUUGGAAAACUCCGGCUAUCAAUUCCCGUUUCGGGGCGCAGGUUCGAGUCCUGCUGGCGUCG
rnacentral:tRNA from 1 species